GAUCAAAUCAAGCGCGAGAAGGGCGUUUGGUGGAUGCCUUGGCAGCAAGAGGCGAUGAAAGACGUGAUACUCUGCGAUAAGCCGUGAGGAGCCGAGAAUAGGCUUUGAUCCACGGAUCUCUGAAUGGGGCAACCCACCUGACAGUUGAUUAUGAUUGCUUUCGAGCGGUUCAUAAUUGGCUGAAACAGGUACUUAUUACCUGAAUACAUAGGGUUUUAAGAGCAAACCCGGGGAACUGAAACAUCUAAGUACCCGGAGGAAAGGAAAUCAAUUGAUACUCCCCUAGUAGCGGCGAGCGAACGGGGACCAGCCGAGCCUUGAGUGUGAUUAGAAUGGUCUGGAAUGGCCAACCAUAGUGGGUGACAGUCCCGUAUAAGAAGCAUGAUAGGACGUAUUAAGUAGGGCGGAACACGUGAAAUUCUGUCUGAAGAUCGGAGGACCACCUUCGAAGGCUAAGUACUCCUUGCUGACCGAUAGCGAACCAGUACCGUGAGGGAAAGGUGAAAAGCACCCCGACGAGGGGAGUGAAACAGUACCUGAAACCGAACGCUUACAAUCAGUCGGAGCUUGACUGGACUCUUAUGACAAUCUGAACCACAUCUUGUCCUCAACAAACGGGGGGCAAGACAUGGCGGACGGAACCUUUGCAGCACUAACCUUUCUACUCGGCGCGAUCGAGAUGGGAAGCAGUACCUGCGGCAGCGAAACGGGAUGUCUGGGACGAUCUGAAACGGAGCCGCGGAUAUCGAUAUCCGGUGGUGAGGUUCUUGAUCGGAACGCGACAUCGCAAGCUGAGGUUUACCUCCGCUAUGACUUCGGUCGGAAGAUCGGGCCAUUCGGCCAAACCAUCGGCGUUUCCGUCGGUGAGGAGGGCGAAACAUGGUUGGGAUAUGGCGCGACAUACACCUACGACUUCGGUCGCAGCGGGAUGUUUGCACAGUUCCACACGAUGCCUGGUCUUUACAGCGACAAUGGCGGUUUUGAUCUUGGCGGACCGAUCAUCUUUCGAUCGGGUCUUGAGCUGGGAUAUGAAAACGCGGCCGGAUGGCGCUAUGGUAUCAGCUACGAUCACCGUUCGAAUGCGGGGAUCUACAGCGACAACCCCGGCGUGGAAACGGUUCAAGUUCGGGUGAGCAUCCCGAUCAGAUAGGUUGCCAUAAGUGUCCAGUCUUGUGACGGCGUACCUUUUGUAUAAUGGGUCAUCGACUUGGUCUAUCUAGCAAGCUUAAGCCGUUAGGUGUAGGCGCAGCGAAAGCGAGUCUUAAUAGGGCGAAUGAGUUAGAUGGAUCAGACCCGAAACCGAGUGAUCUAGGCAUGACCAGGAUGAAGGUAAGGUAACACUUACUGGAGGUCCGAACCCACACCUGUUGAAAAAGGUCGGGAUGAGUUGUGCCUAGGGGUGAAAGGCCAAUCAAACUCGGAGAUAGCUGGUUCUCCGCGAAAUCUAUUUAGGUAGAGCGUCAUCCGAAUACCCCGGGGGGUAGAGCACUGGAUGGGUAAUGGGGCCCCACAGGCUUACUGAUCCUAACCAAACUCCGAAUACCCGGGAGUACUAGAUGGCAGACACACGGCGAAUGCUAACGUCCGUCGUGGAGAGGGAAACAACCCUGACCUACAGCUAAGGCCCCUAAUUCAUGGCUAAGUGGGAAAGCAGGUGGGACGACCAAAACAACCAGGAGGUUGGCUUAGAAGCAGCCAUCCUUUAAAGAUAGCGUAACAGCUCACUGGUCUAAAUAAGUUGUCCUGCGGCGAAGAUGUAACGGGGCUCAAGCCAUGAGCCGAAGCUUAGGAUGCCGUAAGGCAUGGUAGCGGAGCGUAGUGUGACAUAGUUCCAAGCGUCCUUGAUCCCUUCGGGGAUAUUGGACGCAGGGAACUUUCUGUGAAGCCGGCCUGUGAGGGAUCCGGUGGAGAGAUCACUAGCGAGAAUGAUGACAUGAGUAGCGACAAAGAGUGUGAGAGACACUCUCGCCGAAAGUCCAAGGGUUCCUGCUUAAAGCUAAUCUGAGCAGGGUAAGCCGACCCCUAAGGCGAGGCCGAAAGGCGUAGUCGAUGGGAACCAGGUUAAUAUUCCUGGGCCAUGGAGUGGUGACGGAUCAAGAAGGUAGUUCAUCCUUAUCGGAUUGAAUGGGCUGCUUAUUGGUCCCUGGAAAUAGCCCUCCUAUUAGAUCGUACCCUAAACCGACACAGGUGGACUGGUAGAGAAUACCAAGGCGCUUGAGAGAACGAUGUUGAAGGAACUCGGCAAAAUACCUCCGUAAGUUCGCGAGAAGGAGGCCCAGUUUCAACGCAAGUUUUGGCUGGGGGCACAAACCAGGGGGUGGCGACUGUUUACUAAAAACACAGGGCUCUGCGAAGUCGCAAGACGACGUAUAGGGUCUGACGCCUGCCCGGUGCCUGAAGGUUAAAAGGAGGAGUGAGAGCUCUGAAUUGAAGCCCAGGUAAACGGCGGCCGUAACUAUAACGGUCCUAAGGUAGCGAAAUUCCUUGUCGGGUAAGUUCCGACCUGCACGAAUGGCGUAACGACUUCCCCGCUGUCUCCAACAUCGACUCAGCGAAAUUGAAUUACCUGUCAAGAUGCAGGUUCCCCGCGGUUAGACGGAAAGACCCCGUGCACCUUUACUACAGCUUCACACUGGCAACAGGCACAACAUGUGCAGGAUAGUUGGUAGGCUUCGAAGCAGGGACGCCAGUCUCUGUGGAGCCACCCUUGAGAUACCAACCUUGUUCUGCUUGUUGUCUAACCGCGGUCCGUUAUCCGGAUCCGGGACCCUGUGUGGCGGGUAGUUUGACUGGGGCGGUCGCCUCCUAAAGCGUAACGGAGGCGCGCGAAGGUUGGCUCAGAGCGGUCGGAAAUCGCUCGUUGAGUGCAAUGGCAGAAGCCAGCCUGACUGCGAGACUGACAAGUCGAGCAGAGUCGAAAGACGGCCAUAGUGAUCCGGUGGUCCCAAGUGGAAGGGCCAUCGCUCAACGGAUAAAAGGUACGCCGGGGAUAACAGGCUGAUACUGCCCAAGAGUCCAUAUCGACGGCAGUGUUUGGCACCUCGAUGUCGGCUCAUCUCAUCCUGGGGCUGGAGCAGGUCCCAAGGGUACGGCUGUUCGCCGUUUAAAGAGGUACGUGAGCUGGGUUUAGAACGUCGUGAGACAGUUCGGUCCCUAUCUUCCGUGGGUGUAGGAUACUUGAGAGGAGUUGCCCCUAGUACGAGAGGACCGGGGUGAACGAUCCACUGGUGGACCUGUUGUUGCGCCAGCAGCAGUGCAGGGUAGCUAUGAUCGGACAGGAUAACCGCUGAAGGCAUCUAAGCGGGAAGCCCCCCUCAAAACAAGGUAUCCCUGAGGGCCGUGGUAGACCACCACGUCGAUAGGCCGGAGAUGUAAGCGCAGCAAUGCGUUCAGUUGACCGGUACUAAUUGCCCGAUAGGCUUGAUUUGAUCCAG
rnacentral:rRNA from 1 species